rnacentral:miRNA from 1 species
CAGGUCUCUCGACCAACGACCA